rnacentral:lncRNA from 1 species
ACUGAAUCUGUAGAUUGCUUAGGAGCAAUGACACAUGUGAAGCGAUUUCUCCAGGUCUCCAUUCCUUCUCUGAGGCUCUUAGAAUCCAGGCCCUGGGUCUGGUGCUAAUGUGCUCGCUGGCUGAGCUGUGCUCACCUGUCCAGCUGCCACUGAGUUCAAGGUCAGAUGUAGUGAAGAUGAUAAAGCAGCCCCACGAAGUCAUUCUAUGGACAGAUGGAAGGCGUGUGCACAGCACCUAAUAUUUCUGUUCUUACCGUGUGCCCAGGCAGCUUCUCUGGGCCUGACUUCAGGACAGUGCUUCUCCCGUCCCCACCUCCCUUUGCCAGAACCCAAAGCUGAAAACUCGGGUGGGAGGGUGGAUGGAAUGAUCUGCCCCCGUCCCACCUUCAAUCACGGGCUCCAAACGCGAAUAUAAACUUU